AAACGGUAUAGAACCAUACUGCACACCUUGCUUCUCCAGACUGCUCUCUUCCCUGGCAGAGAUGGAGAGUGCUCGGACCAGCUCAUAUAACUAACUCACCCCGUCUUUAGUCUACAGAUUAAUUAGCGGUUACUUGUGUCAACAGCAACAACGGUUGUACUGCACGUGUGGAGCUAAUACCCACGAAUCUUCCCCAGGACGUGAUCUGCUACUCGUUCUAUGGCUUUCAGGUUCCUAGACUUAGCAGCAGAAGAGAAGGCUGGGGAGCUUAUCAGCUUGUGGGACUCUAAGAUGGAAAGAAUUCGACCUAAUUUACAGCAUAGCCAAACAACAUCUAUUAACAAGAGGAAAAAUAAUUCAGAAAUGGGACCACAGCUUGGAAGGCUUUCAGAGUCUGGCCACUGCUCACCACUUCAGGCACAUCUCAUGCCCCAGCCCCUUCCUCAACUCUCAGCUCCUUCUACACUGAAUUUCUGGCAGUCCCACAAUCCUGCCAGCUCCUGCUCCCCUGCCAGGGGUCACGUGUGCUGUUCCUUCUGCCCGAAGACAGAACACAGUCCCUGCCUUCAGGACCACACAACCCAGUCAAGGAAAGAGACAAAUAAACAGGUAAAGAUACCAGCAGAAGACAGCAGUCUGCAGCCUGGAAGAGGGCACUCAUCAGAACCCGAUCAUGCUGGUAUACUGAUCUCAGACUUCCAGCCUCCAGAACUGUGAGAAAUAAAUGUCUGUGAUUUAUAAAAUUUUUUUUAGAAAAGAGAGAUGUCCACAUGAGGCCGUUUCAGUGGGGUUCCAAAAGUCUUGGGCUAAACUUUCUGUUGGAUGAUCCACAGGCGACCAUAGCCCACUGUGGAAGGAGAGUGCCUCAUACUCAAGUAAGGGGAAGGACAGCUCCCCUGACCCUUCAGCUCAGAUGUUGUGAAGUGGCCAUUCCAACUGCAGGUGACCUGCAGGUGCUGGCCUGUCUUCAGGUGAGUAGAUGUGCUCCACAUGGUCACCCAGGUCCUCAUCCUUUUAGGGCCACUGACCUUCUCUAACGAUAGGCCACACACCCCACCCUAGCAUAACCCAGCAUUCUUCUGAUCUCCCUGUGGCAAGGCAAAAUGAGUCUCCAUCUCUUCUUUUUCUAACAAAUUAUCAUAACAACUUCUCUCUUCAUUUGUAAGAGGUGUUUUUUUUCCACUCUCAAACAAACUAAGCUCUUGAGAAUGAAAAGCCUUGAUUUUCAACACUACUGUUUCUGAUGUGGGGUUCAGAGCCGGUUUUAGAAUUCAAAACUGAGCAUCCUUCUUUCUGUGCAUUUGUAAGAGAAGAAUUCAAAUUCUCCUGGGAUCAUUUGGAGGCCGCUCAGUGAGGUGCAGGGGCGGGUGAACAUUUUCUGUAAAGGGCCACAUGGUAAAUACUUUAGGGUUUAUGGGCCACAGGCAGUCUGUGUCACAGUCACCUUUUUUAAAUAGCGUUUUAAAAAUAUGGAAGCAAUUCUUAGCUCCAGUGCUUUUGUAGGUCCAUGGGCUUCGCUUUGCUAAUCUGAAUUAGAAGAAGAAAUGGGUUCAAGACAUUUGUCUGUCUAUUUGUUUGUUUUGAGCUCAAAUCAAUUAUGAAUUUCAUGCCCACUGGGAAGUGAAUAUCUGGCCUUAUGAGUUUUGUAUUUCUGUAUUUAUGUUUGACCCUUACUGAAAUUUCAAAACUCAAGCUAUAAUAAGCGAUUUUUCAAACAUAAAUAUGUAUAUAUGUCUUUUCCAUAUGUUUAUAUGUCUAUAGUUCAGAAAAGUCUUACGUGAGUGUGUAAUAUUAAUAAAUUUGAUUAUAAAAUCUCUUCAAUUAAAAGAUCUCUAUUCUGAUUGGCUUAUAGAGAUAAAUAAGUGCUUACAUAGAUUGAAUAUUCCUAAAAUUCCAAGAAAUUAAGGAAAUAGAACUUCUAAUAAUAUCACUGUGCUAAAAAAACGGUAUUCUUAAUGAAGCUAACUCAGAUGUUUUAGAAAUUCAAGUUCAUAUAAUUUAGAUAAAUCUUUGCAAAUGAGAUUAAUUUAAUAUUGUUAGUUUAAUAAAAACAGUUAUGUCUUCUCUAGGUUGUCGGCAUUAAAUAUCAUACAAGAUUACAUUUUUUAUUUUACUUGGGUAUGUUCUUCCUAAACUUAAACAAGUUUAUUGAUGGAAUAAGCUAACAUUACUUCUAAUAAAUAUUUCAGAUUAGGAAAAAUGCAAAGGUGCUUAAACAAAUUAAAUUGUUAUUCUAACAACUUUAUUUCAACAUUAAUUAUAUUUUAUAAUAUGUCAGUUUGAUGGUAGUUUCCAAGAUUUUUAGACAAUUUAAAAUCUUGGACUGAUACUAAAUUGAAUAAAUUAAUGGCUACUCAUUAAGUACCUAAAUCAUUUCUAAGUAAGAUGGAAUACUGAAAAAUUCAUUACUAGGCAUAAUUUUAAGUUCGUGUGCUUUUGUAUCUUAUUUUUUAAGGUACAGAGAAGCUGUAUAUGUGGAGUACUUCAACGAAUGUGUUCAUUUUUGCCACUUUGAAAACCUAGACAAUAAAGAAUACGUAGAAUAUAGAAAGUUGUAGAGGACUCAAGAAAAGGGAAUCUUGUUUGGGUCAGAGCUGGCUAUCGCUUGAUGCUUUUAUUUCAAAGAUUAUCAAAAAGAGCUUUACUUAUCAAAUAUUAUAGUUAUGCAAAGCUACAAUUUAGUUUUCUCUCUCUCAAAAUGACAAAAUUUUUCUUAGAUUAUUGGUCAGGUCUUGGCAAGCAGUUAGUUACAAAAGUUUAUUCUUUCCUUUCUGUGUAAUCUGCCUAGAUGACAAAGAUUCUGUGUCUUACAGAAUCAUUUUCAUGAUUUAUGUUUAAUUUAUUUCCAUGAUUAUUUAAGAAAACAAUGCCUUCUCGCUUAGCAAAAAGUUAAGAUUCUUUCCAAUCAUGUUAGCUCCUAUGUUUACUUUUAAAACGUUUUUUGUUUCUUUGGUGGUUAAGUAUCCCAUGAUCCUGGAUAGCCAAGUACCACAUGAUCCUACUUUGAUCAAGCAUUCAAAUCUCCUCGACUUUUGAUAUUUUGCCUUCCCAAAAUCAAAGCCUAAAUGACAUCUUUGCACCUUGAAACUAUCUUUGAAAUUUCCUAGAGUGCCCUGGAAAAUCACAAAGGAUUUGUUCCUUCAUCUUGCAGAAAGAGGGGUACUAGAAAUAAUUAGGUUUAUUUGAAUGUUACUAUUGCUGAGUUGCAUGGGAAGAGCUGUCAAAUUGAAGAGAUGCUUAGCCUUCCCUAGGUUAAAUUUUUAUGGGUAAAAAGGUUAUGAAUAUAACUAUUUCAGCAAUUGUAUGCUAUAUGGGAAGUUCCCGAAGACUUGUCAAUGCCUUUGCUAUCUACAAUAUGUUUCCGUUUAUUAGAGUCCUAGUGCUGUUUUCCCAGUUGUUAGACAAUAACAGUGUUAUUAGUCAUAGUUUCAGUUAUUUUUAAAAUGUUAAUUUGUUCACAACUUUACUUCUUUAAUUUGAAUCUAGUAUCUUCUAAGCCAGUGGUUUUCGAUUGGAGAUUUGCAUCACUUCUCUGCAGUGUUAUAUUAACAUACAGAUGUUCACAACCUGCGCUAGGUUUACUAAAUCUCUUACUUGGUAUUCUUGAUAUAUUCUUGGUGCAUUCUUCCUAUGUUCUUAGUAUAUUCAUGGUAUAUUAUGUCAGAAUUAUUAUGUAUCACAAGAUUUUUCUCUGAAGUGAGUAUGUUAAUCCAUUUUUAUAAAUUAGAUGUAAUGUUCACUGUAUUCUUUGAAAAUAGUUCUAAUCAUUGUGUUUACAAAUAUUUUGUCUAAAACUUUUUUUGGAUUGAAUUUAUGAUCUCGUUUUGCAUGCCUCAGAAACAACCAAAUUUCCUUGUCUGUUGCAUUAUUCUUAUAAUGAACUGUCAUUAGUCCUUUUACUUUUGAAACUUAUCAGUAAUAAAUCAACCACAGCAAUUUUUAAGUAUCUUGUCAUCCACAGAUAGUUUUCUAUUUUACUCUUAUUCUUUCCUGAAAGCACCUGCAAUCAGCUACAGGCCGGAGUGCUUCAUCUUCAACAAAGGAGGAUCAUCUGUGAAAAAGAUUAUAGUGGGUACUUCAGGGAAUAGGCUUCUGAUGGCAUCGCUCAUAUCAUGGGAUGAGUCAGCAUUUCCCGAACUAUACCCCAGAAGCAGAUGGAUUCAGAAGACUUCUAAGCCAAGAUCAAGCAGACUAAGAACUAAUGACAUAAGACUGAAUGAAUUGAUAAGAGUUAAUUGUAGUUUUUGUCUGGAAUAUUGUUGCUGUUUUAAUUUUUUAUUUUCUGAAUAUAUAAGGAAGCCUUUUGCUUUCCUCUUGAGCAAUCCAUAAUUCAUAGUAAUUAAGUAGACUCUGCUUUUAUAAACUGAAAUGAAACAUUUGCAAUGAUAUUUUACUCUCCCUGAUUAACACCUCCAGACUUUGGACUCUGUUACUGAGCAUUCUUGUUUUCAUAGCAAUACACUUAUUUCUGUAGAAUUUGUCCUUUUUUAUAUCCGCUUCAAUAAGAAUCUGUCCUCCCAUAAUUGGAAACAUCGGUUAAACAACCAAAGUGUUAUUUGAGAAUAUCAUAUUUGAGAAUGAUGCUCAUUAAUCAAAUCUGACCAGACACAUUAAGGAACUAAGGUUGACUUUAUGAAGCCAAUGCUUGCAAAGCUGUCUUGGGACUGGCCUGAUAUCUGGUUUACAGUAUUUCAUCCUUACAGGUGAGUAAAGUAAGUCUUCUUGGCAGACCCAAGAACCCUAGGAUAUCUUGUGGACCUCCAGAAGAGAGGAUUUAUAGAUAAUAUAGGUAAAAUCUGAUAGCAAGUUCUUAGCUUGGCUUCCUACCCUCAAGAGGCUUUUAAAAGUCUAAUUUGAAAUUCCUUGUGAAAACUUCAAGCAAAGAAACAUAAGAAGGCCUCCAUAGUUAAUUACAAUUUUUCUUGCAACUUUGCAAAUAAUCAAGCCAAAUCUAAGGAGACCAGCCUUAUUUUAUGAUCAAGAAUAAUCUCUCUUUGAGAUUAUCAGAAAGUAUGGGAGUGGAAGAGUGACUUUUGUGAGAGGGGGAAAUCUUGUGUUUCUGGGAAUCUAUGCGUUGUCUAUAGCACAUCUUUCUGUCAAGAAAAGAUUCUUGACUUUUUCAUUGUCUUUGAGCUUUGCUGCACCUAGUUAUACAAUUUGUAAAUUUGACGUAACUGAUGGAUAUGCAAACUGUAUUGUCUAAUGUUUAUUUAAUUGACUUCCUCCUCUCUGUGGAAAAAUCAGUUUUAAGAUCUACCUGCAAAUUUUACUGGAACAUGUUACUUGCUCAAAUUGUCAAUCCUCACCAGGCUUUCUUUCCUUUCAGUUUUUUUCAGUAUCUGACUCCAACCCUCCAAACUAACUUUUCCAAUUUUUCUCCCUGUUGCCUGAUUUCAGCAUCACCAAAUAAAACCUAACUGCUCAGACCACUACCUAGACUCCAGGUUGCCUUGCACCUGGCCCUUGUCCUCUAGCAUCUGAAGAAAAUACUACUAACUUCAAAGGAUUCACUAUCACAACAGACCAUGCAUGCUCCAGGUGUCUCUUUGGACGAGCUCCUGUCUGAGCCACUAAGGAAAUCCUUGGAAAGGCUUGAGGCAUUCAAGCUUCUUAUAUGAGAGGUAACCAAGACUGCAAACAAAUUUACCAAGAACACAGCAUUGUAGCUAGAGAGCUUCAAGAAACUCAACAAGUGGUGCUGUAUAAUAGAAGGAUUUUCCUCCAAUGGUCUUGAAAUUCACUGGACUGGUUACUCUCAGGCUUCACUCUUGGCUCUUUAUUUUAAUAUAAUCUUUUAUAUUAAUAUAUUGUCUUCAUUUUAGGCAUCUCUCUCUUUAGGACCUAAUCUUCUAGGACCUAGGAGAUUUUAGGUUUUAGGGCCCUAAAACCACUGACCUUUGCCACCACCUCUCAACAGAUGGUUCAACUAGUUUUAUAGGAAAAACACCAAGAAGAAUCCUCAAGAGACAAUAUUUCCUAGACCCUGCUUUGCCCCAUUCAGAAAGUUUAUAAUCAGCUGUAAGUUUUUCACUGAGGGAAGAUAUUUAUCCUCUUGAACCAAAGGGAAGGCAAUGUGGAAAUUUAUCUGAGCCUUGUGCACCAGAAAGCAGAGAAGAUGGAGAAGGUUAAGAAAUCUCCCCACACAUUUGUAUUCCGAGAAACUGCUAACCAGCAAAAGAUCACCCUACUGUCCCAUUUUCUGAGAUAAGACUCACCUCCACCUUUCCUCAGUGACUCAGUGAAGACCCAUCUCCAUCCUACCUCAUGAUGCCUGUGAGAUUCUCCGAUGAUUCCUUUGUUUAAGCUUCUAUAAAACUCAAGGGACCUUUCCUUUUCUUUGAGAAGUUUUUCAUUGAUAAAUAAUAUCCCUAUGGCAAUAGCCUGAAUAAAAUCAUCAUCUAAUUGUCCAGGGCAUUUUGUCUUUCACACAUUGAAUGCACCAUUUCAAACCAAAUAGGAGUCCUAUGAUAGAGAACAGGAAGCCCUACUCAUUGAGUCAGAUAGUAUCCUAUGAUUAUAUGUCCUUCCCUAAAUAUAACCUUUUCUUUUCCAUGGAGUUAAUUUUUAUUUAUUCUCUUACUUGACUUUCUUCAAAUCUCUGGCUUAGUGUGCCCACAGUCUCCAACAACUCUUUAAAAUACUUUUCUAUCCAAAUUUCCAUGUUAUUCUUUUCUUGGAGACUUCUCUCACAAAGCUCUCUAUCUUCCAUCUCCAGUCUAUACUGAUCUACACCUCUUGACGUGCUGCAGAGCUAUCAUUGUGGGACUUCCCUCUGCCAUCUUUAUAGGAAU
ensembl:lncRNA